GCUCAGGAUGAACGCUAGCUACAGGCUUAACACAUGCAAGUCGAGGGGCAGCAUUUUAGUUUGCUUGCAAACUGAAGAUGGCGACCGGCGCACGGGUGAGUAACACGUAUCCAACCUGCCGAUAACUCCGGAAUAGCCUUUCGAAAGAAAGAUUAAUACCGGAUAGCAUACGAAUAUCGCAUGAUAUUUUUAUUAAAGAAUUUCGGUUAUCGAUGGGGAUGCGUUCCAUUAGUUUGUUGGCGGGGUAACGGCCCACCAAGACUACGAUGGAUAGGGGUUCUGAGAGGAAGGUCCCCCACAUUGGAACUGAGACACGGUCCAAGCUCCUACGGGAGGCAGCAGUGAGGAAUAUUGGUCAAUGGGCGAGAGCCUGAACCAGCCAAGUAGCGUGAAGGAUGAAGGCUCUAUGGGUCGUAAACUUCUUUUAUAUGGGAAUAAAGUUUUCCACGUGUGGAAUUUUGUAUGUACCAUAUGAAUAAGGAUCGGCUAACUCCGUGCCAGCAGCCGCGGUAAUACGGAGGAUCCGAGCGUUAUCCGGAUUUAUUGGGUUUAAAGGGAGCGUAGGUGGAUUGUUAAGUCAGUUGUGAAAGUUUGCGGCUCAACCGUAAAAUUGCAGUUGAAACUGGCAGUCUUGAGUACAGUAGAGGUGGGCGGAAUUCGUGGUGUAGCGGUGAAAUGCUUAGAUAUCACGAAGAACUCCGAUUGCGAAGGCAGCUCACUAGACUGUCACUGACACUGAUGCUCGGAAGUGUGGGUAUCAAACAGGAUUAGAUACCCUGGUAGUCCACACAGUAAACGAUGAAUACUCGCUGUUUGCGAUAUACAGUAAGCGGCCAAGCGAAAGCAUUAAGUAUUCCACCUGGGGAGUACGCCGGCAACGGUGAAACUCAAAGGAAUUGACGGGGGCCCGCACAAGCGGAGGAACAUGUGGUUUAAUUCGAUGAUACGCGAGGAACCUUACCCGGGCUUAAAUUGCAACAGAAUAUAUUGGAAACAGUAUAGCCGUAAGGCUGUUGUGAAGGUGCUGCAUGGUUGUCGUCAGCUCGUGCCGUGAGGUGUCGGCUUAAGUGCCAUAACGAGCGCAACCCUUAUCUUUAGUUACUAACAGGUCAUGCUGAGGACUCUAGAGAGACUGCCGUCGUAAGAUGUGAGGAAGGUGGGGAUGACGUCAAAUCAGCACGGCCCUUACGUCCGGGGCUACACACGUGUUACAAUGGGGGGUACAGAAGGCGGCUACCUGGUGACAGGAUGCUAAUCCCAAAAACCUCUCUCAGUUCGGAUCGAAGUCUGCAACCCGACUUCGUGAAGCUGGAUUCGCUAGUAAUCGCGCAUCAGCCAUGGCGCGGUGAAUACGUUCCCGGGCCUUGUACACACCGCCCGUCAAGCCAUGAAAGCCGGGGGUACCUGAAGUACGUAACCGCAAGGAGCGUCCUAGGGUAAAACUGGUAA
rnacentral:rRNA from 1 species